rnacentral:lncRNA from 1 species
UGUAUCUAUCAUAUAUAAAUGUCAAAUUAUGAUAAGUAUCAUACUAUGAUAUAAUGUCAUGGGUUGUGAUGCGGACUUUAUACCUCUCGCAUCCCAAAAACGCAUGGACUAGACUAAUACUGUUGGCGUUUCGAGUGGAUUGUAUUAUACUGCACCCGAAAUAGACUGCUCAACCCACUAAAUUAUGAGGUUAUAUACACCGGUGAAUGGUCUUGUGAAUUCUCGUAUGGAAACCUUAACAGUGAAACCACAUCACAAAACCUUCCAUACAUCAGGUCCAAAUGGAUGAACUAUAUUAAAAACCUCAUUACAUCCCAUCUUAUUAUUUCUCAUCAUUCAUCAUAGAUAAUACGUUACUUCUUUAAUUAAUUUCCUCAUAAAUUUCAUCUAUAAAGUUGUUGGUCCAUCAGAGUACUAAAAUAUGGUUAUAAGAUGCACCAAUGGAUAUUAUUUUUUAAUAAUUAUUUCCAUUUAUUUGUUGCCUAACUAACUCAUAUUUAAUUGUACAAAAAGUGUAAGCAGCACCAUCACCCUUUUUAGACAUUUGUCAAUAAGGGUUAAACUUCUAGUUUGGUGUUGCAAGGGAAUAUUUAUCUUAAAAUUAAUUUCUUUAUUUUUUUGACAAAUAUAUGUUUAGGUCUUGUUGUGAAAAUGGGGUAAAGAAAAACAGCCCGUUGUUGGGCUUAGCAAAAUGUAAAGUAUUUGUUAAUACUAGAACGCUAUAAUGCAAAGGCUUGAUACGCACUACUCUAUCAGCAAGAGUAGGAUCUUUUUUUAUCAACGACAGCCAUCUUAUUAAUGAUAAAUAUGGUCUUAGAAUAAUCCAAGUCACGUGGUUUUGUUUUUUUGGUUUCAUCUUAUAGUCAAAAGCCUCGUCAUCUCAUUAGUGACAUGUAUGAAUGGAUUAACGAGAUUCCCCCAGUCCCUAUCUACUAUCUAGCAGAAACCCAGGCAAGGGAACGGACAUGGAAAGAUCUUGAAGAAUCUUGCUUCCUUCGUAGACACAAUAGGAUUGGCUUCAGCCUCCCAGGGAAAAAUAAAUUUGGGGUUUUGGUCUCGCUGCAAAAAGGUAUCUAA